rnacentral:lncRNA from 1 species
AGCCGUGGGGUAGCUAUGGGGCAGCUAUGGGGUCUCUAUGAAGUCGCUAUGGGGCAGCUGUGGGGCAGCUAUGGGGUCUCUAUGGGUCUCUAUGGGGUCGCUAUGGGGCAGCCAUGGGGCAGCUAUGGGGCAGCCAUGGGGCAGCCAUGGGGCAGUUAUGGGGCAGCUAUGGGGCAGUUAUGGGGUCGCUAUGGGGCAGCCAUGGGGCAGCCAUGGGGCAGCUAUGGGGCAGCUAUGGGGCAGUUAUGGGGUAGCUAUAGGGUCACUAUGGGGCAGCCAUGGGGCAGCCGUGGGGCAGCCGUGGGGCGGUGACGCUGAGCGCUGCGGCACGCAGAGGGCGCGGAGCUGCCGGUGUCGGUGCGGCCGGUCGGGGACGGCGUGUACGAGUGCGAGUACCGCCCCACGGCGCCGGGGCCGCACAGCGUCGGCAUCACAUGGGGGGGGUACGGCAUCCCCAGGAGCCCGCUGCAGGUGGAGGUGGGUCCGGCGGCGGGCGCCCAGAAGGUGCGGGCCUGGGGGCCCGGGCUGCACGACGGCGUGGUGGGGAGAUCCGCCGACUUCGUGGUGGAGGCCAUCGGCACCGACGUGGGAACGCUGGGGUUCUCCAUCGAGGGCCCGUCGCAGGCCAAGAUCGAGUGCGACGACCGCGGCGACGGCUCGUGCGACGUGCGCUACUGGCCCACGGAGGCGGGGGAGUACGCGGUGCACGUGGUGUGCGACGACCAGGACAUCCGCUGCAGCCCCUUCAUCGCGCGCAUCCGCCCGCCUGCGCCCGACUGCAGCCCCGACAAGGUGGGGCGGCGCCGCCGCAGCCCGUGUCGUCACGUGUCGUCACGUGUCAUCAUCACGUGUCGUCAUCACGUGUCGUCAUCACGUGUCAUCACGUGUCGUCAUCACGUGUCAUCAUCACGUGUCAGCCCGUGUCAUCACGUGUCAUCACGUGUCGUCAUCACGUGUCGUCAUCACAUGUCAUCACGUGUCGUCAUCACGUGUCAUCAUCACGUGUCAUCAUCACGUGUCAUCAUCACGUGUCAGCCCGUGUCAUCAUCACGUGUCAUCUCGUGUCAGCCCGUGUCAUCAUCACGUGUCAUCUCGUGUCAGCCUGUGUCAGCCCAUGUCAUCUCGUGUCAGCCCGUGUCAGCCUUUGUUCUCCCAUGUUUGUCAGCCCGUGUUCACCCGUGUCAGCCUGUGUUAUCCCAUGUCAGCCUGUGUUCUCCCAUGUCAGCCUGUGUCAGCACACGGCAGCCCAUGUCAUCCCAUGUCAGUCUGUGUCAGCCAAUGUCACCCCACCCCCACCCCCACCCUCACCCCCAUC